UAUAAUUUUGGACUGGUUAGACAGUUGUAUUUCGAGCCCAUUAUGUUGUAAAUAAUUAAAAAUUUAAAUAGAAUAAAUUAACGUCUUCAGUCAGGCUUCAGUCAGUCAGUCAGACAAAAGAGUAAUUUACUCUUUUUCUUUUAUUUCCCGGAACAGCAGUCAACAACAACACUGCAACCAACCGCAUAUCCAUCCAUCAACAGUCAAAUUUAGUUUGCUCAAGUCAAACUGGCUGAGCGGCUUCUUGCAGUGAAAGAGAGCUGUCUGCUACGAGCCGCUACUGGUGGGUUCCUGCCCGGAUGUAUGAGUUGGAAAUAGCGCCGAUGUGAGAGGGUGGGGCCUUGGAGGUUGCUCACUGGAAGUACAAGACCAACAGGUUUUCACCAAUUCUGCUGUGCUGGAAGAUAGGAUUACA